rnacentral:lncRNA from 1 species
GUGGUGAGCUGGAGAAAACUGAAGCAGGAGUUGGGAGGUGAACAACUCUGGCCAGUGUCAGGUCCAUUUAUUUCAGCAAAUAUUUAUUGACAACCACCCAGCCAGCUCCUGGGUGGAUGCUGCUCAGACGGUCCUUGCCCUCCAGGUUCCCGGAGCCAGGAGGGAGAGUCACAAACCCAAGCAAAGCUAAUAGAAGCCGAGUGUGGAUAAAUGCUGUAAUCAAGGUUCAAACAAUUCAAUGAAACAGGAAGGAAGUAGUUCAUUCUGCCCAGACAGACCAGGAGCGAUCUUUGAGUGGAGGCUGGACGAGAAUCUGGCCUGAAGAAGUGGCGGAAGACUGAGAGGCACAACUGGAGGUGGUGACUCAGGGAUCCAAGCUGUCCCAUCCUGGAUUUGCAUCACUCAAUGUCACUUCAAAAGCGGGCAGGGGAAGAGUCUGGGAGAUUGCACGGGAUGUUUCUAAAGACCACCCCUGAAAGUGCCUUACAUCACUUCACCUACAUUUCUUUGAACACAGUCACAGAGAUAGAAGCUCACUGCCAGGAAUGCUGGGAAAUGUAGGCUUCCACUGUACCUGGGGAAAGUAAAGCCUAUAGCAAACACACAGCAGCUUUGACUCUGCCACAAGAGUUACAUCUGGAUUGGAAUUCUGCCUCUGUCUGCUAGCUUGGAGCUCUUUGGAUCUUUUUCUUCAUUCAAAACUUGGAACUAAUGACACCUACCCACAAGAUGUACAGAAUGUCACAUAUAUAGCUGUCAGAUAUUAAGAAUCAGACUUCUUCCUGAAUAGUGACUUCAAGGAUGGGUACUAUACUGAAAAUGGAAUGUCUCAGAUUGGCUUUCCAGAAAAGUGCCUGAGAUAAAGACAAGAAUAUAUCAAGGUUUCUGGGAAGACAAGUAAUGAAGUACAGGAAGCAGGAGAAGGGAAACAGGAGGAAGACAAACAAGGGGGCAACUUCAGGCAAAGCCUCACCAAACCCUAGAGCUAAGCAAAGCUUCGGAGCUGUCCCAUCCCUAGUGAAGGCUGUUGGACUUUCAUAUUCUCACCCUGAGAGUCGUUGGUCAAGGGCUGCCUGGUGUUGGGCGAGGGCCAAUGUAAACUCCCAGGAAUUGCAACUCUGCACAUAUCAGCAAGUGCUCUGGUAUCCUAAGGGA